rnacentral:rRNA from 1 species
UACAGAGACUGCAAGCGUUAUUCGGAUUCACUGGGCGUAAAGGGUGCGCAGCGGCCAAGUGUGUUAGGCGUGAAAGCCUGGGCUUAACCCCCAGAAUUGCACUAAAACUACAUGCUAGAGCAUUGGAGAGGGGGUAGCGGAAUUCACGUGUAGCAGUGAAAAUGCGUAGAUAUCGUGAGGAACACCAGAGGCGAAGGCGGCUACCUGGACAAAUUGCUGACGCUCAGGCACGAAAA